UGGCUCAGUUGGUAGAGCACGGUGUUUGCAACGCCAGGGUUGUGGGUUCGAUUCCCAC
rfam:Salmo salar isolate Sally breed double haploid chromosome ssa13, whole genome shotgun sequence.